AUACGUAGGGAGCGAGCGUUGUCCGGAAUUACUGGGUGUAAAGGGAGCGUAGGCGGGAGUGCAAGUCAGAUGUGAAAUACAUGGGCUCAACCCAUGGGCUGCAUUUGAAACUGCAUUUCUUGAGUGAAGUAGAGGUAAGCGGGAUUCCUGGUGUAGCGGUGAAAUGCGUAGAUAUCAGGAGGAACACCGGUGGCGAAGGCGGCUUACUGGGCUUUUACGGACGCUGAGGCUCGAAAGCGUGGGGAGCAAACAGGAUUAGAUACCCUGGUAGUCCACGCUGUAAACGAUGAUUCCUAGGUGUGGGGGGACUGACCCCUUCCGUGCCGCAGUUAACACAAUAAGUAAUCCACCUGGGGAGUACGGCCGCAAGGUUGAAACUCAAAUGAAUUGACGGGG
rnacentral:rRNA from 1 species